GAUGAACGCUGGCGGCGUGCCUAAUACAUGCAAGUCGAGCGAACGGACGAGAAGCUUGCUUCUCUGAUGUUAGCGGCGGACGGGUGAGUAACACGUGGAUAACCUACCUAUAAGACUGGGAUAACUUCGGGAAACCGUAGCUAAUACCGGAUAAUAUUUUGAACCGCAUGGUUCAAAAGUGAAAGACGGUCUUGCUGUCACUUAUAGAUGGAUCCGCGCUGCAUUAGCUAGUUGGUAAGGUAACGGCUUACCAAGGCAACGAUGCAUAGCCGACCUGAGAGGGUGAUCGGCCACACUGGAACUGAGACACGGUCCAGACUCCUACGGGAGGCAGCAGUAGGGAAUCUUCCGCAAUGGGCGAAAGCCUGACGGAGCAACGCCGCGUGAGUGAUGAAGGUCUUCGGAUCGUAAAACUCUGUUAUUAGGGAAGAACAUAUGUGUAAGUAACUGUGCACGUCCUGACGGUACCUAAUCAGAAAGCCACGGCUAACUACGUG
rnacentral:rRNA from 1 species